AUACAGAGGGUGCGAGCGUUAAUCGGAAUUACUGGGCGUAUAGCGCGCGUAGGCGGCUUGGUCAGUCGGAUGUGAAAGCCCCGGGCUCAACCUGGGAAUUGCAUUCGAUACUGCCAGGCUAGAGUAUGGGAGAGGGAAGUGGAAUUUCCGGUGUAGCGGUGAAAUGCGUAGAUAUCGGAAAGAACACCAGUGGCGAAGGCGACUUCCUGGCCCAAUACUGACGCUGAGGUGCGAAAGCGUGGGGAGCGAACAGGAUUAGAAACCCUUGUAGUCC
rnacentral:rRNA from 1 species